CCUACGGGAGGCAGCAGUGGGGAAUAUUGCGCAAUGGGCGAAAGCCUGACGCAGCGACGCCGCGUGAGGGAUGAAGGUCUGCGGAGCGGAAACCUCUGGCAGCAGGGAAGAACGGUCACGGUGCUAAUCAGCAGUGAAUGGACGGUACCUGCAAAGGAAGCACCGGCUAACUCCGUGCCAGCAGCCGCGGUCAUACGGAGGGUGCGAGCGUUAAUCGGAAUUACUGGGCGUAAAGCGCUCGUAGGCGGUAUGUCAAGUCAAGGGUGAACUCCCCGCGCUCAACGUGGGAACUGCCUUUGAAACUGGCAACCUGGAUUGUGUGAUAGUAUAGUCGACUUC
rnacentral:rRNA from 1 species